UCGGCAGUCCUCCUUCUCGCAUGGCUUUUGCCAUGUUUGCGGCAUUGUCUCGCAGUACGACAUGAACCCUCUCUCUCGGAAUCUGCCACACCUGGAGCAUGUUGUUGUAUUUCAUCACCAGCGCUGCAGCAGUGUGUGAGCCGUGGAAUUCCUGGGCGUGUAGUACUGCCGCGCGGAGUUUGAAAUCUGGGUCAAUCCACUGGGCGGUUAAACUAAGCAGUGACAUGGGGCUCACAUCUGAUGACCAAAUAUCAGUGGUCAAACUAAUCGAGGGACUGUGUUCUCUCAGAAGGCCCUCAACGUGAGAAUGAACAACCCGGUGCAGCUCGUUUAGUCCGGUAUCGCCACAGUAUGAGUGCCCUGGGAGGAGAUAGCGCGGAUCGAAGUACGCCAGCAAGCGUUGGAAUGCGGGGUUCUCAACUAGUAUAUUAAAUGGCAGGUCGGCCAGCACAAUAAACUCCAUCAGCUUUCUUGUACCCCCCUUUGCCUUCUCGCUGUCACGGUUGUACGGCUGGACACGGUCCAAAGUCGUUUGCUGUAGCCGCCUGGGUGUCUCUUUUUCCUUUUCUGCACUCCGCUUUUUGAAAUCAGCAUGCUCCUCCUUGUGUUCUUUUUCUAAGUGCCGAAUUAAUUCGUUGUGUUAAAAGCUUUAGCAGAGUUUCCUCCACGAUGUAGUAAAACUUUACACAGGUUGCAGACAGCUUUUGUUGUAUCGCUCUGGUUCACGGUAAAAAAAAUUCCAUACCGCCGACAUGUUUGUUUACUUUGUUUGCAAGAGGGUUUUACGUGCGGCGUAUUCUGGAUUCUAAAAACUUUAUUGUCCAGCACAUAGUGACAGAGCUCAAAACAUAAACGCCACAAAGACAUAAAAACACAUUUAAACUAGUGAGACGUGUCUAUUUUGCUUUGUUUGUUAAAAAAAAAAGUUUAAUCGGUGUGAAUGAGUGUUUUACGUCUUUGCGGCAUUUAUGUUUUGAGCUCUGUUACUAUGUGACGGACGGACAAUAAAGUUUUUUGAAAUUUGAAUCAACAGCAUCACUAGCAAACGGUGUCACAGUGCAGUUGAAACAGAUCACAAGCCAGCUGCAACAGGAGCAGUUUCAAAAUGACAAUGAUCGUCAUUGAUCGGAUCGGUGAAUGAAGACUUUAGGGCCGGUCAGAAAAAUUGAAAAAAAUGUGAAAUAUCGGCCGAUCCGAUCAAGCCGAUCCGAUUGGUGGAAAGUCUACAUUAGAUAUUCGGUGGAUUAAGUUAAAAGCAAGGCGGAAUAAUAACGACGUGUUUUGAUAACGCAAUCAAACAGCGUGCCGUGACCAGUGGAGUGAGAUGUCGGUAGUGUGGCGAUCCGCCCGUCACGGCACUCGCAUUUGCGACUAAAAUUAGUUUUGAGCGAGCAAACUAGGCUUAAAUCAUUCAGCACGCUGUGCCAACAGCCUACAGAUUUCAACCACCAGCAGAAACAAAGGCGAAUCCCACCGAUUGUGGGUUGAACGGGGAUCACAGACAGUUAUGUAUUCCUGUCAAAUACGGCGGCCAUCGGCUUACCGGCGACGGAGAAGUCGGCUCCAAUAAUAUCCUCUUCUUGGCCUCAUGACUGCCCAGAAGUACCUGAACAGCCGAGCCAGCCGAACACAGAGAAAGAGCUCAGGAAGAGGUGGGAAUCUCUGCGAACCCAGUAUACCCGGUACAAGAAACUUGCACCCUCGGGGAGUGUUGGAGCACAGAAGACUGGCAGGCAGCAGUAGAUACUGACCCGGCUGCAGUUUUUGGAGCCCUACACAAAAAGGAAGGAAACCUCCUCCAACCUAACUAUCAUGGAACCUUCAGCUGAUGCUGAUUCUGAGACACCCUCAGACUGGACCAGCACCUCAGAGGAGCCCUGCUUCUUUGCUGAACACAGACCCAGCACUCCCCUAGCAGAAUCCACCAACUGUGAAGCAGAGUCCGCACCUACACCCACCAGAGAGGACCCACUGCCAAGCACCUCCAGCCAGUCAAGCACUCUGAGGCCUCGGGUAAAGCGCAGCAGGAAGAUGCUGGACGAGUCCGUCAGUGAGGAGUCAUCUCACUUGAUACGCACCAUCAAACCCUGGAGAAGUUAGCUUCUCAGGAAGAAAACAAUGAUGCCAUCCAUGCCUACUGCAAGAACACUGAGCACAGAAUGCAGAACUUGCCCCCACAUUUACUGCCAUAUUUCCAGCACGAUGUGGACAACUGCCUCUUCAAAGUAUUCAGUGGACCAGAACCUGGCAUCAGAAACCUCUGACAGACAGUUUAGCAAUCUGUAAUGUUGGAUGUGGAAGUUGUAACAGAUGUAAAUAGUUCCUUUUAAUGCUGUGCUAUGCAGUUGACUGUUACAUUUAUAAGCAUUUCAUUGUCCUGCACAUUUGGUAAUA